rnacentral:rRNA from 1 species
UAGGGAAUAUUGGACAAUGGAGGGAACUCUGAUCCAGCCAUGCCGCGUGAGCGAAGAAGGCGCUAUGCGUUGUAAAGCUCUUUUAGAGGGGACGAAAAAGGGUCAUUUAUGAUCAACUGACGGUACCUUCGGAAUAAGCACCGGCUAACUCCGUGCCAGCAGCCGCGGUAAUACGGAGGGUGCAAGCGUUAUCCGGAAUCACUGGGUUUAAAGGGUGCGUAGGCGGUGGGAUAAGUCAGAGGUGAAAUGUAUUCGCUUAACGAAUAAAUUGCCUUUGAUACUGUUUCACUUGAAUCGAGAUGAGGUAUGCGGAAUGAGACAUGUAGCGGUGAAAUGCAUAGAUAUGUCUUAGAACACCGAUUGCGAAGGCAGCAUACUGGGCUUGUAUUGACGCUGAGGC